AUUGAACGCUGGCGGCAGGCCUAACACAUGCAAGUCGAGCGGAUGAGGAAAGCUUGCUUUUCGAUUCAGCGGCGGACGGGUGAGUAAUGCCUAGGAAUCUGCCUGUUAGUGGGGGAUAACUCGGGGAAACCCGGGCUAAUACCGCAUACGUCCUACGGGAGAAAGUGGGGGCUCUUCGCACCUCACGCUAACAGAUGAGCCUAGGUCGGAUUAGCUAGUAGGUGAGGUAAUGGCUCACCUAGGCGACGAUCCGUAACUGGUCUGAGAGGAUGAUCAGUCACACUGGAACUGAGACACGGUCCAGACUCCUACGGGAGGCAGCAGUGGGGAAUAUUGGACAAUGGGCGAAAGCCUGAUCCAGCCAUGCCGCGUGUGUGAAGAAGGUCUUCGGAUUGUAAAGCACUUUAAGUUGGGAGGAAGGGUAUUCACCUAAUACGUGGGUACUUUGACGUUACCAACAGAAUAAGCACCGGCUAACUCUGUGCCAGCCGCCGCAGUAAAAC
rnacentral:rRNA from 1 species